AACAAGAUAGGAUAAUUAAGUCCGCGAGGUUCAUACCCUUGAAGUGUUUUUCUUUUGUUA
rnacentral:tRNA from 2 species